UACGUAGGUGGCAAGCGUUGUCCGGAAUUAUUGGGCGUAAAGCGCGCGCAGGUGGUUUCUUAAGUCUGAUGUGAAAGCCCACGGCUCAACCGUGGAGGGUCAUUGGAAACUGGGGAACUUGAGUGCAGGAGAGAAGAGUGGAAUUCCACGUGUAGCGGUGAAAUGCGUAGAGAUGUGGAGGAACACCCGUGGCGAAAGCGGCUCUCUGGAACGGUACUGACGCUGAGACGCGAAAGCGUGGGGAGCGAACAGG
rnacentral:rRNA from 1 species